CUAUAAAUCAUCUGGGGAAGGAUGAGAACCUUCAGAAGGUUCGAGUCGCGCAACGCAAGACAACGUGCGAAGCACGGCCCGAAGGGUGAGGAACGAAGUGACGAAUAAUCCUUCCCGCACCACCA
rnacentral:sRNA from 1 species